rnacentral:lncRNA from 1 species
AAAUUAAUGGCAUACAAUGAUACAUUUUCUUCUUCGCAGCUCUGUAGAAUAUCCACCUAAAACAGGAUUAUUUAGUUGCAGAAUUCUGUUGUGUUCGACUUUGUGCAAAGCUAAAAUGACCUUACUACCCGAUGAGAAUGAACAUCCCAUAUCCCUUGACAACUUAACUAAUGACUACAGGCCCAUCAAUGAUGCUGUGCACUGCACUGUGUUCCCUCCCUGAGAAGUUUCUGCUGAACGUUGUGUGUCUUGUUGCAGGGUUCUGUUGUGUUCGACUUUGUGCAAAGCUGAAAUGACCUUACUACCCAAUGAGAAUGAACAUCCCAUAUCCCUUGACAACUUAACUAAUGACUCUACAGACCCAUUAUUGAUGCUGUGCACUGCACUGUGUGCCCUCCCUGAGAAGUUUCUGCUUAACGUUGUGUGUCUUGUUUUUUGACACCCCGCAACAGACGGUGCUGGUAUGUUCAUGCAGAGACACAGGAGCCGGAAGUUUUGAACCCCAAUGGGCAUUUCGUUAGACCGAUCUGCACUGACACAUUUGUCUGAGCUGCCUUACGACCUGCACACUUUCGCUUGGGAUUGUCCACCUCUGUGUACAAGUUGUACAUACCAGAGUGGUAUGUACAAUGUUACAGCACAAACGCUGCCGAGUGCACACACCACUUCUUUCUUCCUCCGGGAAUUCCCACAUCAGUUGACCAUGGCAUUCUGGAUCCAAAGUGCGGUGGUCGUUGUAUGUACUAUUCAUCAUUUGCUCCAGUUUGCCCAUGUGGAGGACCCUGUAUGUGUCGGCCUCUGAUCUGUUGAUAAAACCCCAAUAGAAGCCCAUAGAUACUAGCACUACCUCAUUUCUUAAUGUUUUCUUCUAUCUAGCAUUUUCAUUGAUAGGUUAUCUCCCUUGGACUGUUUUACACCAGCGCUACCAUGCCAAAUUGACAUUGUUUGCAAGCCAUAUUGUUCAAAUCUGACUCUUUGUGAUUGCCCCUGCGCGUGCUGUAACCUCACUGUGGUGCAGGGGUGUAACAUUCUCUUUGAGAAUGGCUAAUACAGCACAAAUUGAAAUUUUGAGUAAAAGUCAGUAUCUAUCUGUGAUAUUUGUAUU